rnacentral:rRNA from 1 species
UACAGAGGGUGCAAGCGUUAAUCGGAAUUACUGGGCGUAAAGCGUGCGCAGGCGGUUAUGCAAGACAGAUGUGAAAUCCCCGGGCUUAACCUGGGAACCGCAUUUGUGACUGCAUAGCUGGAGUACGGCAGAGGGGGAUGGAAUUCCGCGUGUAGCAGUGAAAUGCGUAGAUAUGCGGAGGAACACCGAUGGCGAAGGCAGUCCCCUGGGCCUGUACUGACGCUCAUGCACGAAAGCGUGGGGAGCAAACAGG